rnacentral:rRNA from 1 species
GACGAACGCUGGCGGCGUGCUUAACACAUGCAAGUCGAACGGAAGGGCCCUGCUUUUGUGGGGUGCUCGAGUGGCGAACGGGUGAGUAACACGUGAGUAACCUGCCCUUGACUUUGGGAUAACUUCAGGAAACUGGGGCUAAUACCGGAUAGGAGCUCCUGCUGCAUGGUGGGGGUUGGAAAGUUUCGGCGGUUGGGGAUGGACUCGCGGCUUAUCAGCUUGUUGGUGGGGUAGUGGCUUACCAAGGCUUUGACGGGUAGCCGGCCUGAGAGGGUGACCGGCCACAUUGGGACUGAGAUACGGCCCAGACUCCUACGGGAGGCAGCAGUGGGGAAUAUUGCACAAUGGGCGGAAGCCUGAUGCAGCAACGCCGCGUGCGGGAUGACGGCCUUCGGGUUGUAAACCGCUUUCGCCUGUGACGAAGCGUGAGUGACGGUAAUGGGUAAAGAAGCACCGGCUAACUACGCG